UACGAAGGGGGCUAGCGUUGCUCGGAAUCACUGGGCGUAAAGGGUGCGUAGGCGGGUCUUUAAGUCAGGGGUGAAAUCCUGGAGCUCAACUCCGAAACUGCAUUCGAUACUGCCGUGCUUGAGGACUGGAGAGGAGACUGGAAUUUACGGUGUAGCGGUGAAAUGCGUAGAUAUCGUAAGGAAGACCAGUGGCGAAGGCGGGUCUCUGGACAGUUCCUGACGCUGAGGCACGAAGGCCAGGGGAGCAAACGGG
rnacentral:rRNA from 1 species